rnacentral:rRNA from 1 species
UGAGUUUGAUCAUGGCUCAGGAUGAACGCUAGCGGGAGGCCUAACACAUGCAAGUCGAACGGGAUUGAGAGCUUGCUCUCAUGAGAGUGGCGCACGGGUGAGUAACGCGUAUGCAACCUGCCUAUAACAGAGGGAUAGCCCAUAGAAAUGUGGAUUAAUACCUCAUAGUUCUGAGAAGUCGCAUGAUUUUUCAGAUAAAACUCCGGUGGUUAUAGAUGGGCAUGCGUGACAUUAGCUAGUUGGUAAGGUAACGGCUUACCAAGGCAACGAUGUCUAGGGGUUCUGAGAGGAUGAUCCCCCACACUGGUACUGAGACACGGACCAGACUCCUACGGGAGGCAGCAGUGAGGAAUAUUGGUCAAUGGGCGCAAGCCUGAACCAGCCAUCCCGCGUGCAGGAUGACGGCCCUAUGGGUUGUAAACUGCUUUUAUACACCAAGAAAAAACAGGACGAGUCCUGGUCUGACGGUAGUGUAUGAAUAAGCAUCGGCUAACUCCGUGCCAGCAGCCGCGGUAAUACGGAGGAUGCAAGCGUUAUCCGGAUUCAUUGGGUUUAAAGGGUGCGUAGGCGGCUUUUUAAGUCAGUGGUGAAAUCUUGCCGCUUAACGGUAAAAUUGCCAUUGAUACUGACAAGCUUGAGUACAGUUGAGGUAAGCGGAAUGUGUAGUGUAGCGGUGAAAUGCUUAGAUAUUACACAGAACACCGAUUGCGAAGGCAGCUUACUAAACUGUUACUGACGCUGAUGCACGAAAGCGUGGGGAGCGAACAGGAUUAGAUACCCUGGUAGUCCACGCCGUAAACGAUGAUCACUCGCUGUAUGCGAUACACAGUAUGCGGCCAAGCGAAAGCAUUAAGUGAUCCACCUGGGGAGUACGAUCGCAAGGUUGAAACUCAAAGGAAUUGACGGGGGCCCGCACAAGCGGAGGAACAUGUGGUUUAAUUCGAUGAUACGCGAGGAACCUUACCUGGGCUUAAAUGGGGAACGACAGCAGCCGAAAGGUUGCCUUCUUCGGACGUUCUUCAAGGUGCUGCAUGGUUGUCGUCAGCUCGUGCCGUGAGGUGUCGGGUUAAGUCCCAUAACGAGCGCAACCCUUAUCGUUAGUUGCCAGCGGGUCAAGCCGGGGACUCUAGCGAGACUGCCACCGUAAGGUGUGAGGAAGGUGGGGAUGACGUCAAAUCAGCACGGCCCUUAUGGGUAGGGCUUCACACGUCAUACAAUGGUCGGUACAGAGGGUUGCCAAGCCGCGAGGUGGAGCCAAUCCCAGAAAGCCGAUCGUAGUCCGGAUUGUUCUCUGCAACUCGAGAGCAUGAAGUCGGAAUCGCUAGUAAUCGCGGAUCAGCAUGUCGCGGUGAAUACGUUCCCGGGUCUUGUACACACCGCCCGUCACACCAUGGGAGUGGAAUCUGCCAGAAGUAGGUAGCCUAACCGCAAGGGGGGCGCUUACCACGGUGGGUUUCAUGACUGGGGUGAAGUCGUAANCAAGGUACC